rnacentral:lncRNA from 1 species
UAUCUGGCAUCCCAGGUAUUUCCCUGUCUCAUGCUGAUUGGUGGCUGCUAGGGGGCUGCUAUGGAUCCCCACCUAGCCUGACUGAGUCAGGGACACCUGGCGCAGCAGAUCUCUCCUGUUAUUUGUAGAUAAACAACUUAGCAGGGUGGGAAUGUGCCUAGGAGUGCUCUGUGGGUUUUUCCAAGGACAAAGGCCAUGUCCCUUCCUUGGACAGCUUUGCUCUGAGAUAGAGGCUGGUUUUUCAAAACCAGUAUUCUAGAAUUAAGAGGAAAUAUAGACAUUCUUCCUGGAGCUUUCUCAGUUUACCUUCCCUCCAAUCCUAGAAUGUAGAUUUCCCCUGGGUUUUAAUUUUUUAAGCCUUAUGUGGUUAUCAAGUAGUAGGGUUUCAAAAAUCAAACUGAAGAAGUCAGUCUGACUGAAAGGAGCCUUAGAACUGCGAAGUAGGGGAGUUGACAGCUCCCAUGGGGUCUAGCCUGCUUUAGUAUGACUCUCACCGAAACUUAUGACCAAAGCUAU